UUCUGGGACUGUGUAAGAAAAGGUCUGAAUAUGUCAAGAACAAAUCAUACAGCCACACUAUCACUAUAAAUGGACGGUGAACCAUACAAGAACAACGAACUGCUACAAGAAUUCGAGGAGCUUAUAGAAGAACAUUUAAUUUCACAUAACGAGGUAGUGAUUGAUCAAGACAACAAUCAGUCUAUUAUCCCGCUUUCGCCUUCUUGGACCUUAGAAGCUCAAGGCUAUACGAAUAAGUAACAUACUCUCGCUAGACCAAAAUAUUGCGAUCUUUUUUUUUUUCUUUUCCUGUAAGUAUUCAUGCAGUCUUUAAACUAUAGAAGGGCCCCCUGGAGAGCACAUCCAGCUUGAGCUUCCAAUAUCACAGAUCAUCCCAAGGGACUUUUUAAAUAACAUCUCAGUGACUGUAGAGAUGGCUGAUAAAUCUGACUACUUUGAAGACCCCGAUCAACUGGAAGAGUACUUCAA